AGUGGGAUAGCUGGUUCAAAUGGUGGUUCCAUUCCAAGUUUCUAAGAAAUACCUAUAGUGUUUUUCAGAUUGGUGGCACCAAUUUGCAGUACCAUGAGCAAU
rnacentral:pre_miRNA from 1 species